GGCCAUAUCAAAUUGAAACAUCGGUCCUCAUACAAUCACUAAAGUUAAGCAACAUUGAGCUUGGUCAGUACCUAGAUGGGUGACCACUUUGGCAUGCCUAUUGCUGCAAG
rnacentral:rRNA from 1 species